rnacentral:rRNA from 1 species
AGUGAACGCUGGCGGUAGGCCUAACACAUGCAAGUCGAACGGCAACACAGUAAGAGCUUGCUCUUACGGGUGGCGAGUGGCGGACGGGUGAGGAAUACAUCGGAAUCUACUUUUUCGUGGGGGAUAACGUAGGGAAACUUACGCUACUACCGCAUACGACCUACGGGUGAAAGCAGGGGAUCUUCGGACCUUGCGCGUUUGAAUGAGCCGAUGUCGGAUUAGCUAGUUGGCGGGGUAAAGGCCCACCAAGGCGACGAUCCGUAGCUGGUCUGAGAGGAUGAUCAGCCACACUGGAACUGAGACACGGUCCAGACUCCUACGGGAGGCAGCAGUGGGGAAUAUUGGACAAUGGGCGCAAGCCUGAUCCAGCCAUACCGCGUGGGUGAAGAAGGCCUUCGGGUUGUAAAGCCCUUUUGUUGGGAAAGAAAAGCAGCAGGUUAAUACCCCGCUGUUCUGACGGUACCCAAAGAAUAAGCACCGGCUAACUUCGUG